CCCUUAGAUGUUCUGGGCCGCACGCGCGCUACACUGAUGCAUUCAACGAGUUUUUCCUGGUCCGAGAGGAAUGGGUAACCUUUUGAAAGUGCAUCGUGCUAGGGAUAGACUAUUGCAAUUAUUGGUCUUCAACGAGGAAUUCCUAGUAGACGUAGUUCAUCAGACUGCAUCGAUUACGUCCCUGCCCUUUGUACACACCGCCCGUCGCUCCUACCGAUUGAAUGCUCAGGUGAGCCAUUCGGACUUUCAUCAUGCUGGUUUCCAGUUUUGAUGAAGGAAAGUCUUGCGAGCCUUAUCAUUUAGAGGAAGGAGAAGUCGUAACA
rnacentral:rRNA from 1 species